ACGGGUGAGUAACACGUGGAUAACCUACCUAUAAGAUUGGGAUAACUUCGGGAAACCGGAGCUAAUACCGGAUAAUAUAUUGAACCGCAUGGUUCAAUAGUGAAAGACGGUUUUGCUGUCACUUAUAGAUGGAUCCGCGCCGCAUUAGCUAGUUGGUAAGGUAACGGCUUACCAAGGCAACGAUGCGUAGCCGACCUGAGAGGGUGAUCGGCCACACUGGAACUGAGACACGGUCCAGACUCCUACGGGAGGCAGCAGUAGGGAAUCUUCCGCAAUGGGCGAAAGCCUGACGGAGCAACGCCGCGUGAGUGAUGAAGGUCUUCGGAUCGUAAAACUCUGUUAUUAGGGAAGAACAAAUGUGUAAGUAACUAUGCACGUCUUGACGGUACCUAAUCAGAAAGCCACGGCUAACUACGUGCCAGCAGCCGCGGUAAUACGUAGGUGGCAAGCGUUAUCCGGAAUUAUUGGGCGUAAAGCGCGCGUAGGCGGUUUUUUAAGUCUGAUGUGAAAGCCCACGGCUCAACCGUGGAGGGUCAUUGGAAACUGGGAAACUUGAGUGCAGAAGAGGAAAGUGGAAUUC
rnacentral:rRNA from 1 species